GGCGGCGCCGGCGCGGGUGAAAGGGCGGCCGGGCAGCGGCGGCCGCGCGCGGACAUGGCGGCGGCGGCGGUGCUGCUGCGCUGGGGCGGCCGGCGGGGGCGGCCGGGGUGUGAAACGCUGUGUUCAAGAUGGUGCCUUAUAACUUCACAUAAACUGUAUUCGUCCGUGUAUGAUCCAAAUGAAAAGACUUUUGAAAAACUCCUUAUUGCCAACAGAGGAGAGAUUGCAUGCCGAGUCAUCAAAACGUGUAAGAAGAUGGGGAUUAAAACUGUUGCCAUACACAGUGAUGUUGAUGCCAACGCUGUUCAUGUGAAAAUGGCGGAUGAAUCUGUCUGUGUUGGCCCAGCUCCCACCAGCAAAAGCUACCUCAACAUGGAUGCCAUCAUGGAAGUCAUUAGGAAAACCAGGGCCCAAGCUGUACACCCAGGAUAUGGAUUUCUUUCAGAAAAUAAGGAAUUUGCUAGACGUUUGGCAUCGGAAGGUGUCACCUUCAUUGGACCUGACACACAUGCUAUUCAAGCUAUGGGAGACAAGAUUGAAAGCAAAUUGUUAGCCAAGAAUGCAAAGGUCAACACGAUCCCUGGCUUUGAUGGAGUAGUCAAGGAUGCAGAUGAAGCUGUCAGAAUUGCAAGGGAAAUUGGCUACCCUGUCAUGAUCAAGGCCUCAGCAGGUGGUGGUGGGAAAGGCAUGAGAAUCGCUUGGGAUGAUGAAGAGACCAGGGAAGGGUUUAGGUUUUCAUCUCAAGAAGCUGCUUCAAGUUUUGGCGAUGAUCGCUUGCUGAUAGAAAAGUUCAUUGAUAACCCUCGUCACAUAGAAAUCCAGAUUUUGGCAGAUAAGCAUGGUAAUGCCUUGUGGUUGAAUGAAAGAGAAUGCUCCAUUCAAAGGAGAAACCAGAAAGUUGUGGAGGAAGCACCAAGCACUUUUCUAGACCCUGAAACUCGAAGAGCAAUGGGAGAACAAGCAGUAGCUCUUGCCAAAGCAGUAAAGUAUUCCUCUGCUGGAACAGUAGAAUUCCUUGUGGACUCCAGUAAGAAUUUCUACUUCUUGGAAAUGAAUACUAGACUUCAGGUUGAACAUCCCGUCACAGAAUGCAUUACCGGCCUGGACUUAGUCCAAGAAAUGAUCCGUGUUGCUAAGGGUUACCCUCUCAGGCACAAACAGGCUGAUAUUCCCAUCAACGGCUGGGCGGUUGAAUGUCGAGUUUAUGCUGAGGACCCCUACAAAUCUUUUGGUCUGCCAUCCAUUGGUAAACUGUCUCAGUAUCAGGAACCAUUGCAUGUGCCAAGUGUACGUGUUGACAGUGGAAUACAACAAGGAAGUGAUAUUAGCAUUUAUUAUGAUCCCAUGAUCUCAAAACUGAUUACCUAUGGCUCUAAUAGAGCUGAAGCACUGAAAAGAAUGGAAGAGGCUUUGGACAAUUACGUAAUUCGAGGUGUGGCUCACAAUAUUUCUUUACUGCGAGAAGUGAUCAUCCAUCCACGCUUUGUUCAAGGAGACAUCAGCACUAAAUUCCUUCCUGAAGUCUAUCCUGAUGGUUUUAAAGGACACAAGUUGACAGAUCUUGAAAGAAGAGAACUACUGGCAACAGCAGCGUCUUUGUAUGUGACUGAACAACUGAGAUCACAGCGAUUUCUGGGAACUCCAAGAAUUCCUAUUGCUAAAUCAAAGAGAAGGAGCUGGGAGCUCUCUGUGCGUCUAGGAGAUGGAAUUUACCCAGUUGCAGUUUCAAAGGAUGGCUCAUCAUUUUCUGUGGAAGUUGAUGGGAUGAAACUAAAUGUGACCAGCGAGUGGAACCUGGCUUCACCCUUGUUGUCUGUCACCAUUGAUGGCACUCAGAGGACUAUACAGCGCAUUUCUCGGAAUGCCUCUGGAGAGACAAGCAUUCAGUUUCUAGGCACAGUGUACAAAUUACAAAUACUGACGAAGGUUGCUGCGGAGCUGAGCAAGUACAUGCCAGAGAAAGCAGAAGAGGACACCUCCAGCAUUUUGAGAUCUCCUAUGCCUGGAACAGUGGUGGCAGUUUCUGUCAAGCCUGGGGACACGGUUUCGGAAGGUCAAGAGAUUUGUGUAAUUGAAGCAAUGAAAAUGCAGAACAGUAUGAUUGCUGCUAAAACAGGCAAGGUCUUCAAGUACCUCUGGCUUAAGAAAACCAGCUAGUGGUAGUUGCCUGAGGGGAUUGGACAUGAUUUGGUCAAGAACUGGAGAGGUGCUGGAGUCUCCAUUCUCACAGGUGAAAGCUGUGCACUGCAAAGCUGGUGAUACUGUUGGAGAAGGAGAUCUGCUGGUGGAACUGGAAUGAAAGGUUGCCUCCACACUGUUGAAUUAACUAAGCCUUUAUUAUUUUCAUCCAUAAAGUAACAUUAAGGCAGUUCAACACAGAAAAUGGACACUACUAUGUGCAAGAUUUUAUGCAGGCAUAUUUACUGUAUCAGUGGUUAAGACAGCAAACACAGAUGUUAAAUCUUGGCAAUGGAUCCCAGAUUUUUACUUUCAGAAAUACUUGUACAUAACCUUUGUAAUGCUUUGAUUUUUCAGGAUCAAAUAAAAUCAAUAAAAUACCAUUUCUGCUUUAAAA